rnacentral:tRNA from 1 species
GCCUCCAUAGCUCAGUGGCUAGAGCGCUGGUCUAGUAAACCAGAGGCCGUGGGUUCGAUUCCCCCUGGAGGCA